rnacentral:tRNA from 1 species
GCCUUCGUGGUGUAGUGGUCAGCACACUCGACGCUUAGCCGUGAAUCUGUAGUUCGAUUCCCGGCGAAGGCG